AGCAGCCGCGGUAAUUCCAGCUCCAAUAGCGUAUAUUAAAGUUGUUGCAGUUAAAAAGCUCGUAGUUGAAUUUCGGGGUUAGCAGGUCGGUCGUGCCAUCGGUAUGAACUGGUCUCGCUGAUCCCUCCCUCUUGACGAACUGUGAUGCCAUUAAUUUGGUGUCGCAGGGAAUCAGGACUGUUACUUUGAAAAAUUAGAGUGUUUAAAGCAGGCUCACGCUUGAAUACAUUAGCAUGGAAUAAUGAAAUAGGACGUUUGAUCCUAUUUUGUUGGCUUCUAGGAUUGACGUAAUGAUUAAUAGGGAUAGUUGGGGGCAUUAGUAUUCAAUUGUCAGAGGUGAAAUUCUUGGAUUUAUUGAAGACUAACUACUGCGAAAGCAUUUGCCAAGGAUGUUUUCAUUAAUCAAGAACGAAAGUUAGGGGAUCGAAGACGAUCAGAUACCGUCGUAGUCUUAACCAUAAACUAUGCCGACUAGGGAUCGGAUGAUGUUAAUUUUUAAUGACU
rnacentral:misc_RNA from 1 species